rnacentral:rRNA from 1 species
AAGACCUUGCACUUUUGGAGCGGCCGAUGUCUGAUUAGCUAGUUGGUGGGGUAAUGGCCUACCAAAGCUUCGAUCAGUAGCUGGUCUGAGAGGACGGCCAGCCACACUGGGACUGAGACACGGCCCAGACUCCUACGGGAGGCAGCAGUGGGGAAUUUUGGACAAUGGGCGCAAGCCUGAUCCAGCCAUGCCGCGUGAGUGAAGAAGGCCUUCGGGUUGUAAAGCUCUUUCAGCCGGGAAGAAAAGGUUGCGACUAAUAAUCGCAAUCCAUGACGGUACCGAAAGAAGAAGCACCGGCUAACUACGUGCCAGCAGCCGCGGUAAUACGUAGGGUGCGAGCGUUAAUCGGAAUUACUGGGCGUAAAGCGUGCGCAGGUGGUUUUGUAAGUCAGAUGUGAAAGCCCCGGGCUUAACCUGGGAACU